GACGAACGCUGGCGGCGUGCUUAACACAUGCAAGUCGAGCGGUAAGGCCCUUUCGGGGGUACACGAGCGGCGAACGGGUGAGUAACACGUGGGUGACCUGCCCUCAGCUCUGGGAUAAGCCUGGGAAACUGGGUCUAAUACUGGAUAUGACUCCACGGUGCAUGUCGUGGGGUGGAAAGCCUUGUGCGGCUGAGGAUGGGCCCGCGGCCUAUCAGCUUGUUGGUGGGGUGANGGCCUACCAAGGCGACGACGGGUAGCCGGCCUGAGAGGGCGACCGGCCACACUGGGACUGAGACACGGCCCAGACUCCUACGGGAGGCAGACAGUGGGGAAUCUUGCGCAAUGGGCGAAAGCCUGACGCAGCGACGCCGCGUGAGGGAUGACGGCCU
rnacentral:rRNA from 1 species